UACGUAGGGUGCAAGCGUUGUCCGGAAUUAUUGGGCGUAAAGAGCUCGUAGGCGGUUUGUCGCGUCUGCUGUGAAAACCCGAGGCUCAACCUCGGGCCUGCAGUGGGUACGGGCAGACUAGAGUGCGGUAGGGGAGAUUGGAAUUCCUGGUGUAGCGGUGAAAUGCGCAGAUAUCAGGAGGAACACCGGUGGCGAAGGCGGGACUCUGGGCCGAUACUGACGCUGAGGAGCGAAAGCGUGGGGAGCGAACAGG
rnacentral:rRNA from 1 species